rnacentral:rRNA from 1 species
AUUCCAGCUCCAAUAGCGUAUAUUAAAGUUGUUGCAGUUAAAAAGCUCGUAGUUGAAUUUCUGGUGGGAGUGUACAGUCCGACACUGAGUGUUGGUUCUUGUGUGUCUCCGGCCAUCCUUGGAGUGAAUCUGUCUGGCAUUUAGUUGUUGGGCAGAGUAUCUCCAUCGUUUACUGUGAGGAAAGGAAAGUGUUCAAAGCAGGCUUACGCCGUUGAAUCUUUUAGCAUGGAAUAAUAAGAUAGGACCUUGGUACUAUUUUGUUGGUUUGCGCACCAAGGUAAUGAUCAAUAGGGACAGUUGGGGGUAUUCGUAUUCAGUUGUCAGAGGUGAAAUUCUUAGAUUUAUUGAAGACGAGCUACUGCGAAAGCAUUUACCAAGGAUGUUUUCAUUG